rnacentral:rRNA from 1 species
CAACGCCGCGUGGGUGAAGAAGGCUCUCGGGUCGUAAAGCCCUUUUCUGGGGGAAGAAGUCCUGACGGUACCCCAGGAAGAAGCCACGGCUAACUACGUGC